rnacentral:sRNA from 1 species
GCAGAUCAAGGCUGGAGCCUAUGAUUUCCCAUCACCAGAAUGGGACACGGUAACUCCUGAAGCCAAGAACUUGAUCAACCAGAUGCUGACCAUAAACCCAGCAAAGCGCAUCACGGCUGACCAGGCUCUCAAGCACCCGUGGGUCUGUCAACGAUCCACGGUGGCAUCCAUGAUGCAUCGUCAGGAGACUGUGGAGUGUUUGCGCAAGUUCAAUGCCCGGAGAAAACUGAAGGGUGCCAUCCUCACGACCAUGCUUGUCUCCAGGAACUUCUCAGCUGCCAAAAGCCUAUUGAACAAGAAGUCGGAUGGCGGUGUCAAGGUAAGUGUCUCCAGCCUCUGAACAGACUGGCCUCUUUCUCCCCGCAGUCACUAUGGGAAUUCUUGGCACCUGGUUCCCCCUUUCCCAGGGAAUCUUCCUAUCCUUGCUGGUCUGCUUUAAACAAGAUGCCUUUGUGCUCAGAACAGAAGGUUCCGCUGGCCUGAGAGGGAAGUAGGGAGGUAUUUUUCCUGGCCCUCGCUGGAUGGGAAUGACUCAGGGGAAGUGAUCCAAAUCAUAGUUUAUACCAGAGCUGAAUCCGGAACCUGACUUCCACAAGGAUGCUUCAUCUCCAGGGCUUGACUCUGGGUUUUUUAGGUCAUUUGGUUAUCUUUCUUUUUUUCCUUUUUAGAGCGCAAAUCCUUUUAAUCAAAUGAAAGCCAAGUUUGCCUGAGUGAUUCAGGCAGGGUAUAGGGCUUGGAACCUGAAACCACUCUCCUUUUGGUCUUUUUCCUUC